rnacentral:rRNA from 1 species
GCGAUACAGGGUGACAGCCCCGUACACAAAAAUGCACAUAUUGUGAGCUCGAUGAGUAGGGCGGGACACGUGGUAUCCUGUCUGAAUAUGGGGGGACCAUCCUCCAAGGCUAAAUACUCCUGACUGACCGAUAGUGAACCAGUACCGUGAGGGAAAGGCGAAAAGAACCCCGGCGAGGGGAGUGAAAAAGAACCUGAAACCGUGUACGUACAAGCAGUGGGAGCCUCUUUAUGGGGUGACUGCGUACCUUUUGUAUAAUGGGUCAGCGACUUAUAUUCUGUAGCAAGGUUAACCGAAUAGGGGAGCCGAAGGGAAACCGAGUCUUAACUGGGCGUUAAGUUGCAGGGUAUAGACCCGAAACCCGGUGAUCUAGCCAUGGGCAGGUUGAAGGUUGGGUAACACUAACUGGAGGACCGAACCGACUAAUGUUGAAAAAUUAGCGGAUGACUUGUGGCUGGGGGUGAAAGGCCAAUCAAACCGGGAGAUAGCUGGUUCUCCCCGAAAGCUAUUUAGGUAGCGCCUCGUGAAUUCAUCUCCGGGGGUAGAGCACUGUUUCGGCAAGGGGGUCAUCCCGACUUACCAACCCGAUGCAAACUGCGAAUACCGGAGAAUGUUAUCACGGGAGACACACGGCGGGUGCUAACGUCCGUCGUGAAGAGGGAAACAACCCAGACCGCCAGCUAAGGUCCCAAAGUCAUGGUUAAGUGGGAAACGAUGUGGGAAGGCCCAGACAGCCAGGAUGUUGGCUUAGAAGCAGCCAUCAUUUAAAGAAAGCGUAAUAGCUCACUGGUCGAGUCGGCCUGCGCGGAAGAUGUAACGGGGCUAAACCAUGCACCGAAGCUGCGGCAGCGACACUAUGUGUUGUUGGGUAGGGGAGCGUUCUGUAAGCCUGUGAAGGUGGCCUGUGAGGGUUGCUGGAGGUAUCAGAAGUGCGAAUGCUGACAUAAGUAACGAUAAAGCGGGUGAAAAGCCCGCUCGCCGGAAGACCAAGGGUUCCUGUCCAACGUUAAUCGGGGCAGGGUGAGUCGACCCCUAAGGCGAGGCCGAAAGGCGUAGUCGAUGGGAAACAGGUUAAUAUUCCUGUACUUGGUGUUACUGCGAAGGGGGGACGGAGAAGGCUAUGUUGGCCGGGCGACGGUUGUCCCGGUUUAAGCGUGUAGGCUGGUUUUCCAGGCAAAUCCGGAAAACCAAGGCUGAGGCGUGAUGACGAGGCACUACGGUGCUGAAGCGACAAAUGCCCUGCUUCCAGGAAAAGCCUCUAAGCAUCAGGUAACAUCAAAUCGUACCCCAAACCGACACAGGUGGUCAGGUAGAGAAUACCAAGGCGCUUGAGAGAACUCGGGUGAAGGAACUAGGCAAAAUGGUGCCGUAACUUCGGGAGAAGGCACGCUGAUAUGUAGGUGAAGCGACUUGCUCGUGGAGCUGAAAUCAGUCGAAGAUACCAGCUGGCUGCAACUGUUUAUUAAAAACACAGCACUGUGCAAACACGAAAGUGGACGUAUACGGUGUGACGCCUGCCCGGUGCCGGAAGGUUAAUUGAUGGGGUUAGCGGUAACGCGAAGCUCUUGAUCGAAGCCCCGGUAAACGGCGGCCGUAACUAUAACGGUCCUAAGGUAGCGAAAUUCCUUGUCGGGUAAGUUCCGACCUGCACGAAUGGCGUAAUGAUGGCCAGGCUGUCUCCACCCGAGACUCAGUGAAAUUGAACUCGCUGUGAAGAUGCAGUGUACCCGCGGCAAGACGGAAAGACCCCGUGAACCUUUACUAUAGCUUGACACUGAACAUUGAGCCUUGAUGUGUAGGAUAGGUGGGAGGCUUUGAAGUGUGGACGCCAGUCUGCAUGGAGCCGACCUUGAAAUACCACCCUUUAAUGUUUGAUGUUCUAACGUUGGCCCGUAAUCCGGGUUGCGGACAGUGUCUGGUGGGUAGUUUGACUGGGGCGGUCUCCUCCUAAAGAGUAACGGAGGAGCACGAAGGUUGGCUAAUCCUGGUCGGACAUCAGGAGGUUAGUGCAAUGGCAUAAGCCAGCUUGACUGCGAGCGUGACGGCGCGAGCAGGUGCGAAAGCAGGUCAUAGUGAUCCGGUGGUUCUGAAUGGAAGGGCCAUCGCUCAACGGAUAAAAGGUACUCCGGGGAUAACAGGCUGAUACCGCCCAAGAGUUCAUAUCGACGGCGGUGUUUGGCACCUCGAUGUCGGCUCAUCACAUCCUGGGGCUGAAGUAGGUCCCAAGGGUAUGGCUGUUCGCCAUUUAAAGUGGUACGCGAGCUGGGUUUAGAACGUCGUGAGACAGUUCGGUCCCUAUCUGCCGUGGGCGCUGGAGAACUGAGGGGGGCUGCUCCUAGUACGAGAGGACCGGAGUGGACGCAUCACUGGUGUUCGGGUUGUCAUGCCAAUGGCACUGCCCGGUAGCUAAAUGCGGAAGAGAUAAGUGCUGAAAGCAUCUAAGCACGAAACUUGCCCCGAGAUGAGUUCUCCCUGA